AACAUUUGAAUCGUUUUUACGUUUUUGUUGUAUUAUCAGUCAGAUAAGAGAAAAGUAAAGAGAUGUAGAAACGUGUGAAAUUGACUUAGACAAUUACAAAACCCUUUUUCUAGCAUAUAAUACACGAGUACUGUAGUCCCUUUCUUCAGCUAUUCUCACCUUUUGUUUUAUUUACUGUUCUUGUUCAAAUACUUACCUGCAGUGUAGCAGAGAGGUUGGCGUCGACUGGGCCCCGAUUGAUGAAUGCUCUAAGAGUACAGUUGGGUCUGGUCUGCUCUAUAAGAAUGGUGUCCGGACGUCGUCACUCAAGCCACGCGUUUACUUCAUCCCAACAGUUACCAUUGACGGGCACUACAACCGUAAUCAACUGAGAACCUCACUUGGGGACUUGAAGACUCAAAUCUGUGAGGUGUACCAGGGACCACCACACCAGAAUUGUCUCUAAAUUUUUUCGUCAUUUCUCCCCAGCAGAGGUUUAAAGAAGUGCUGAGAACAAAUAGUUUUAAUGUCUCAAUGUUACUGCAAUAUUUUCAGUGCUUCUUAUUAGACAGGUCAUACAGUUUACAGACUUCAGUGCAAUCUUAACUAAAACAUUCCUGCCAAGUUUCAUCUCAGUGCAAUUUGAAACCGAGGACUAUGUUUAUUUUAUCUCGUUAAAUAUUUGUCCUAGUACUGAAGUGUUUUUCUCAUUUUUCCAUUCCAUUACUAGGCCCUAUUAACCAUUCAAAAUAUAUCUUUCAAUUACUGUACUGUAUCUUGUCAUUAUUACCCUCCUCUUGACUUUCUCAUUUUAAAGCCAUAACUCCUGUACUUUUCUUCUCCAUAUUUAUUUUGAUAUUCUAAUAUAGUUUUCUUAAGUAUAAAAUGACUACUGGAUUUGACUCUCUUCCCAUUUUUAAUUCCCUCUACUACUCUUACAUCAUUAUUUCAAGUACCGUAUCCAAAGAAGAUAGGUCUCCCAUUAUUGUUCCGCAUUUAAUGGAUUCCAGUUCUAGGCAAUAUGUAAAACUUCUUUUACUAGCAAAGAGAAUAAAAAUCAAGAGCUAACCUCUGAUCUCUUCUCAUUUAACACUGAUUUGUACUUAGUAUUAAAGUUUGUUAUAUCCAUCUUGUAUUAAAGAUAAAAACUUAAGACAUUAACCAGA